GAUGAACGCUGGCGGCGUGCCUAAUACAUGCAAGUCGAGCGAACAGAUGAGGAGCUUGCUCCUCUGACGUUAGCGGCGGACGGGUGAGUAACACGUGGAUAACCUACCUAUAAGACUGGGAUAACUUCGGGAAACCGGAGCUAAUACCGGAUAAUAUAUUGAACCGCAUGGUUCAAUAGUGAAAGACGGUUUUGCUGUCACUUAUAGAUGGAUCCGCGCCGCAUUAGCUAGUUGGUAAGGUAACGGCUUACCAAGGCAACGAUGCGUAGCCGACCUGAGAGGGUGAUCGGCCACACUGGAACUGAGACACGGUCCAGACUCCUACGGGAGGCAGCAGUAGGGAAUCUUCCGCAAUGGGCGAAAGCUUGACGGAGCAACGCCGCGUGAGUGAUGAAGGUCUUCGGAUCGUAAAACUCUGUUAUUAGGGAAGAACAAAUGUGUAAGUAACUAUGCAUGUCUUGACGGUACCUAAUCAGAAAGCCACGGCUAACUACGUG
rnacentral:rRNA from 1 species